rnacentral:rRNA from 1 species
UGGGGAAUCUUGCACAAUGGGCGAAAGCCUGAUGCAGCAACGCCGCGUGCGGGAAGACAGCCCUAGGGUUGUAAACCGCUUUCAGCAGGGAAGAAACUGACGGUACCUGCAGAAGAAGAUGCGGCCAACUACGUGCCAGCAGCCGCGGUGACACGUAGGCAUCAAGCGUUAUCCGGAUUUAUUGGGCGUAAAGAGCUCGUAGGCGGUCCGUUGCGUCUGCCGUGAAAACCCGGAGCUCAACUCCGGGCCUGCGGUGGAUACGGGCGGACUAGAGUCCGGUAGGGGAGACUGGAAUUCCUGGUGUAGCGGUGGAAUGCGCAGAUAUCAGGAGGAACACCGGUGGCGAAGGCGGGUCUCUGGGCCGGAACUGACGCUGAGGAGCGAAAAGCGUGGGGAGCGAACAGGAUUAGGAUACCCUGGUAGUCCACACCGUAAACCGAUGAAUGCCAGUCGUCGGGUAGCAUGCUAUUCGGUGACAC